AUUGAACGCUGGCGGCAGGCCUAACACAUGCAAGUCGAGCGGAGCGGCGGACGGGUGAGUAAUGCCUAGGAAUCUGCCUGGUCGUGGGGGAUAACGUCAGGAAACGGGCGCUAAUACUGCAUACUAGCAGAUGAGCCUAGGUCGGAUUAGCUAGUUGGUGGGGUAAAGGCCUACCAAGGCGAAGAUCCGUACCUGGUCUGAGAGGAUGACCAGUCAACCGGGAACGGGGACAAGGUCCGUACUCCUAUGGUAGGCAGCGGUGGGGAUUAUUGGACAAUGGGCGGAAGCCUGAUGCAGCCUAGGCGCGUGUGUGUAGAAGGGCUUCGGAUUGUAAAGCACUUGAAGUUUGGAGGCGGUACCAACAGAAUAAGCACCGGCUAACUUCGUGCCAGCAGCCGCGGUAAUAC
rnacentral:rRNA from 1 species